rnacentral:rRNA from 1 species
GACGAGUGAGAAUGCAGGCAUGAGUAGCGAUACAAACGUGAGAAACGUUUGCGCCGAUUGACUAAGGGUUCCUGGGUCAAGCUGAUCUGCCCAGGGUAAGUCGGGACCUAAGGCGAGGCCGACAGGCGUAGUCGAUGGAUAACCGGUUGAUAUUCCGGUACCCGCUGUGAAGCGUCAAACAUCGAGCAUCGUGAUGCUAAGGCCGUGAAGCCGCCCUGAUCUCUUCGGAGUUGAGGGGAGUGGUGGAGCCGCUGAACCAAGCGGUUAGUAGGUGAGUGAUGGGGUGACGCAGGAAGGUAGUCCAUCCCGGGCGGUGGUUGUCCCGGGGUAAGGGUGUAGCCCGUCAUCUAGGCAAAUCCGGAUGACAUGUGGGUGAGACCUGAUGCCGAGCCGAUUGUGGUGAAGUGGAUGAUCCUAUGCUGUCGAGAAAAGCCUCUAGCGAGUUUCAUGGCGGCCCGUACCCUAAACCGACUCAGGUGGUCAGGUAGAGAAUACCGAGGCGUUCGGGUGAACUAUGGUUAAGGAACUCGGCAAAAUGCCCCCGUAACUUCGGGAGAAGGGGGGCCACACCUGGUGAGAGCACUUGCUGCUCCAGCUGGGGGUGGCCGCAGAGACCAGCGAGAAGCGACUGUUUACUAAAAACACAGGUCCGUGCGAAGCCGUAAGGCGAUGUAUACGGACUGACGCCUGCCCGGUGCUGGAACGUUAAGGGGACCGGUUAGCUCUGAUUCGUCAGGGCGAAGCUGAGAACUUAAGCGCCAGUAAACGGCGGUGGUAACUAUAACCAUCCUAAGGUAGCGAAAUUCCUUGUCGGGUAAGUUCCGACCUGCACGAAUGGCGUAACGACUUCUCGACUGUCUCAACCAUAGGCCCGGUGAAAUUGCACUACGAGUAAAGAUGCUCGUUUCGCGCAGCAGGACGGAAAGACCCCGGGACCUUUACUACAGUUUGAUAUUGGUGUUCGGUUCGGCUUGUGUAGGAUAGCUGGGAGACUUUGAAGCUCACACGCCAGUGUGGGUGGAGUCGUCGUUGAAAUACCAGUCUGGUCGUGCUGGAUGUCUAACCUGGGUCCGUGAUCCGGAUCAGGGACAGUGUCUGAUGGGUAGUUUAACUGGGGCGGUUGCCUCCUAAAGAGUAACGGAGGCGCCCAAAGGUUCCCUCAGCCUGGUUGGCAAUCAGGUGUUGAGUGUAAGUGCACAAGGGAGCUUGACUGUGAGACCGACGGGUCGAGCAGGGACGAAAGUCGGGACUAGUGAUCCGGCGGUGGCUUGUGGAAGCGCCGUCGCUCAACGGAUAAAAGGUACCCCGGGGAUAACAGGCUGAUCUUCCCCAAGAGUCCAUAUCGACGGGAUGGUUUGGCACCUCGAUGUCGGCUCGUCGCAUCCUGGGGCUGGAGUCGGUCCCAAGGGUUGGGCUGUUCGCCCAUUAAAGCGGUACGCGAGCUGGGUUUAGAACGUCGUGAGACAGUUCGGUCCCUAUCCGCUGUGCGCGUAGGAGUCUUGAGAAGGGCUGUCCCUAGUACGAGAGGACCGGGACGGACGAACCUCUGGUGUGCCAGUUGUUCUGCCAAGGGCAUGGCUGGUUGGCUACGUUCGGGAGGGAUAACCGCUGAAAGCAUCUAAGCGGGAAGCCUGCUUCGAGAUGAGGACUCCCACCCACUUGAUGGGGUAAGGCUCCCAGUAGACGACUGGGUUGAUAGGCCGGAUCUGGAAGCCAGGUAACUGGUGGAGGUGACCGGUACUAAUAGGCCGAGGGCUUGUCCUC